rnacentral:rRNA from 1 species
UGAGUAACCUGCCCUUAACUCUGGGAUAAGCCUGGGAAACUGGGUCUAAUACCGGAUAUGACUCCUCAUCGCAUGGUGGGGGGUGGAAAGCUUUUUUGUGGUUUUGGAUGGACUCGCGGCCUAUCAGCUUGUUGGUGAGGUAAUGGCUCACCAAGGCGACGACGGGUAGCCGGCUUGAGAGGGUGACCGGCCACACUGGGACUGAGACACGGCCCAGACUCCUACGGGAGGCAG